rnacentral:rRNA from 1 species
CGAAUCCCAAAAAUAACGUCCCAGUUCGGACUGUAGUCUGCAACUCGACUACAUGAAGCUGGAAUCGCUAGUAAUCGCGAAUCAGCAUGUCGCGGUGAAUACGUUCCCGGGUCUUGUACACACCGCCCGUCACACCAUGGGAGUCGGAAAUGCCCGAAGCCAGUGACCCAACCAUAAGGAGGGAGCUGUCGAAGGUGGAGCCGGUGACUGGGGUGAAGUCGUAACAAGGUAUC